rnacentral:rRNA from 1 species
CCUGCGGAGGGAUCAUUACCGAGUUUACAACUCCCAAACCCAAUGUGAACGUUACCAAACUGUUGCCUCGGCGGGGUCACGCCCCGGGUGCGUCGCAGCCCCGGAACCAGGCGCCCGCCGGAGGAACCAACCAAACUCUUUCUGUAGUCCCCUCGCGGACGUAUUUCUUACAGCUCUGAGCAAAAAUUCAAAAUGAAUCAAAACUUUCAACAACGGAUCUCUUGGUUCUGGCAUCGAUGAAGAACGCAGCGAAAUGCGAUAAGUAAUGUGAAUUGCAGAAUUCAGUGAAUCAUCGAAUCUUUGAACGCACAUUGCGCCCGCCAGUAUUCUGGCGGGCAUGCCUGUCCGAGCGUCAUUUCAACCCUCGAACCCCUCCGGGGGAUCGGCGUUGGGGAUCGGGACCCCUCACACGGGUGCCGGCCCCGAAAUACAGUGGCGGUCUCGCCGCAGCCUCUCCUGCGCAGUAGUUUGCACAACUCGCACCGGGAGCGCGGCGCGUCCACGUCCGUAAAACACCCAACUUUCUGAAAUGUUGACCUCGGAUCAGGUAGGAAUACCCGCUGAACUUAAGCAUAUCAAUAAGCGGA